GAGAGUGAUGUUUCAGGUGCAUAAAGAAUUCACCUGCUGAAUCUAUGAGCAUCCCAGAGGGAAGCUGCUGGGAUGCAGUGAAUCCCACGUUCUGGAAGUGUUCUUUGUAAUUCUAGUUGCAGUCUUCCAUCUGGAGAGAGAAAGUGUCACAAAGUGUCUCUGAGAUACUGAAUCCUGAGUGUUCUCACAUUGUGGAUACACAGUCAUGAUUCUAUAACAUGGACAGUGAGUCCUCUCCAGCCAGUCUUCACACCUCAAAGUCAAAGGCUGAAAAACUUGAACUGAGAAGUAUAGGAUAAAGAAGAAAUGUGACUAAAUGCAGACAUUUGAAAACUGGCCAUUGGCAAAUACCUGCUUAAUCCUUCCGGAGCCCCAAAGUGCUGUGAAGGAAGGGAAGGAGCCAGUGUUGGGAGGCUGAAACAUGGCAGCUGCUCAGUAGCUGAUGCUCUCAUUUUACAAGAGGGUUGAAGAAGAGUAACGUCCUCAAGAAGCAUUAGAAUUCUAUGUCAGGAGUUUGAGUCAAGCAUAGAAGUCCACUUGAAUCCUGUCAGGGAUUACUGGUAGCUCACCUGGCAUACAGAAGCAAGCAGGUCCAAUACUUGUCUUUAGCUAUCUGUUUGAACUUCAUGGAUAAGAAAAUAAUAGAAUAGUAGAAAUCGAGCUUCAGACUACUGCUGUUGAUGGCUUUUUGUCUACAUGAAACACUGAGCAAGUUCAUUUCCAAGUGAAAAGUGUUGUGCUUUCUGCAACAUACAGUUGCAAUAUUUAGCUGGAAAACCUGAGUCCUGAGACCUUCAGCUUGAUGAUCACUGAAGCUGGAACUGUGCUGUUAAAAAAAUUAA